UACGUAGGGGGCGAGCGUUAAUCGGAAUUACUGGGCGUAAAGCGUGCGCAGGCGGCUCAUUAAGACAGGCGUGAAAUCCCCGGGCUUAACCUGGGAACUGCGCUUGUGACUGGUGGGCUGGAGUGUGUCAGAGGGAGGUGGAAUUCCACGUGUAGCAGUGAAAUGCGUAGAGAUGUGGAGGAACACCGAUGGCGAAGGCAGCCUCCUGGGACAACACUGACGCUCAUGCACGAAAGCGUGGGGAGCAAACAGG
rnacentral:rRNA from 1 species